AGAUUAUCUCUAGGGUUGAUCUAUUGGAAUUACUUACUGAGCCAAAGUAAUUCAAGUAAUUCAGGUGUAGUGAAAC
rnacentral:pre_miRNA from 1 species